UGAAUUAUUUAAAGUGCAUAUACAUUUGAUCAGCUAAAAGCGUACAAAUCUAUGGAAGCAAUCAACCAGUUGAGCUGUGGUUGGGUUCGUGACGUACAGAGCAUGACUGUAAAUGACAAUGUUUUGGUGACUGCAAAGGUUCGACACCCCCAGCAGAUGAACGCAACACCACUUCAUCCCUGGGUCAUCGCCAAUAAAGACGGUAUGGUAGAGGCAGCACAUUGCGACUGCAAAGCUGGUCUCGGGGAGACUUGCUUUUCCACAUAGAGUUUAUACAUCGCCUCAUGUCCCGCAGAACUGUGACACAGGAAAAGGCUUACUGGUCCAUGCCUUCAGCAGUCGACAAGGUGCCCUAUGCUGCAGUUCGGGAUAUCGAUUUCACUUCUGUGUCAAUCAAGAAAAGGCGCCUUGACAGUGUUAUUAAUGGUGAGGACGUUCAACAAGAGCGACAACCUCUCGAACCUCAUCCCUAUCCAACUUCCUCUGAUAUCUGAAAUUAAACAGCAUACUAAUAAUAACACGUACUUAAUAUAGAGACAGACCAACAUACCAACACUGAGACUCACUGACUCUUGUACAAUUCCAGUUCGAACCCAUCAAAUCCAGAUAGCACAUUGGGUAGUCAUUUUUCAUUCAUUUUUAGAUCAAACCAGUGUACCUUUUUUGUUUGUUUCUAUCUUCUUCUCUUUCUUCAAAGAUUUACUUGGUGUCAGGUCUUCUCCAAGAAGAAGGGUUGGGGCCCAAUCAGGAUUGGAUCUUUCAUACAUACUAGAUGGUUUGCCUGAAAAACAGAAUAUCAUUAAAAUUAAACUAUAUAUCAAAUAAGCAUACGAGAUGUUAAUAUUCUGAGUUAAUUGUCAUAGAACAAUGUACACUUGUUCAGAGUCAGAUCUAUGCAAAGAAAUAUCAUGCAUUGACUGCACUUUACCGCUGCAUCCUGCAUGAGGCCUGAGCCAGCCUAACAAUAACAAUAACAGCCUAACAUAUCUAUAAAUAGAAAGCUCAGGCUUUAACUUUUAAAAUAGAACAUCAAUAUAUCCAUUUCAAUUACCGUUUAUGAA